AGAUAGCUCAGUAUGUAGAGCAUCUGACUAGAGAUUCAGAAGGGCCAGGUUCAAAUCCCGGUCU
rnacentral:tRNA from 1 species